rfam:Agrilus planipennis Contig44731, whole genome shotgun sequence.
UCUCUCGUAGCUUAGUGGUCAGAGCAUUGGUACGUAAAGCCAAAAGUCCCGGGUUCGAUUCCCGGCGAAGGUG